rnacentral:lncRNA from 1 species
GGGAAAGGGGCAGGUGGGGUCUUGCUCUGGUGGCUGCCAAUCCCUGGCACACUCCAGCAAUGCUCCACACCUGCCUCUAGAGCUCCCACCUAGCCCCAGAAUGGCCAGAUGACAGCAAGUCCCACCUGAGGGAAUGGCCCAGGAAAACCAAAGGACACUCAAACUGAGGUAGUCUUGGUCCUGCCUCCUCUUGGAACUUCUCUGAGCUGAGCACUGCUGGAACUAGGAGAGACUUCCUGUGCAUCAUUUUGAUGACACUAUUUCACCAUUAGUUGUGGAGCAGCAGGAAUGAAGUGAUUUGGAAGACUUCUUGCGGUGAGCCGAACCCCUGCUCUGAAUAUUUUUCUUCUGUCUAUAAUAUAUAGGAAAAUUCUUACAGCCUAGUUUAGAAAUGUCUUUGAAGAAUCUGGAGAUUAUUAAAAGCAGAUGUCACAACUGUCUUGAGCAUAGUGAGAAGGAGAAAAAGGAGCUCUCCUGAGAAGUCUGACAGUUUGCCACAAAGAAAUUGGUACAAAAGCUGUGAGCCCCAAGUUCCCACAGAGAUGCACCAUCUUGUGAGAGUUAAUAGAAGUCAGAUGAGCAAUGACAAAUGGAAGCAUGGACUGGGCUGCUGAAGAAGUAGGAGACAAUAAGAGAACAAGUUAGAUGAGAAGUCCUCUGACCUUGAGAAAGAAACAGCUAUCACUUCCAAAGGCAUCUUGCUUUUUUGUCAAUUUUCAAGUAAAACACUGAAUACACAUACAGUGUCACUUGAAGAAAUACAAAUAAAGAAUACUUGCAGAGUAAUUUAAGAGAUUUUUGUGAAUUAAUUGAACAUCGAGCAAAUCUACUAGCAAAUAUUUGUUAUCAGGUCAGUCAACAAAAAGUUGGUCUACAUAAUUCCAUUUGAAGAGCUUCUCCUUUUACAUUUUAUAUGCUGUUUUGCUUAGACACUACAUAUAACAGUGCAUGCCUUUAAUCUUUAAUAGAAAGAUUCUUUCCCCAUUAAAACCUCCAUUAGGUCCCUCAAAGUUACAUUGGAAAAUAAUUCUAGCUUCUAUGUGUCUUAUAAACUUUAUGCAGUUAGCUCUUCUGGGAGGAUUCCUUUUCCUCAUUUGAGUGUGUCAAGCUGGAUUGCCUGAUACUUGUGCUUAGUUUUCACCAGUUUAUAAGUAGUUCAGAAUGGUAUCUGUCUGAUGACUAUCUGUACAUUGAGAGAACAAACAAAUCACAAGCAAAUGCUGUGUGUGAUGGGAAAUUUGCAGGCAUCUUGCUAUGUUGUCAAUUUUUUCUUAUAUUACACUAGAAACUUCUAAUGUCCAAGGAGUCCCAUUUCAAAUAGUGCCUUACUACUUGGCACCUGUUAAACAGAAAUCAAUGGACUUUUAUUCAUGCUAAUUUCUUUCUGUUUAGCAUAAGUUCGUAGUUGUUAAAGGUUCCUUCUUCAUUCUAAAAACAAUCA